UACGGGGGGGGCAAGCGUUGUUCGGAAUUACUGGGCGUAAAGGGCUCGUAGGCGGCCAACUAAGUCAGACGUGAAAUCCCUCGGCUUAACCGGGGAACUGCGUCUGAUACUGGAUGGCUUGAGUUCGGGAGAGGGAUGUGGAAUUCCUGGUGUAGCGGUGAAAUGCGCAGAUAUCAGGAGGAACACCGGUGGCGAAGGCGCUGCUCUGGGCCGAAACUGACGCUGAGUGAGCGAAAGCCAGGGGAGCAAACGGG
rnacentral:rRNA from 1 species